UACGUAGGGGGCAAGCGUUAUCCGGAUUUACUGGGUGUAAAGGGAGCGCAGACGGAAAUGCAAGCCAGAAGUGAAAACCCGGGGCUCAACCCCGCGGACUGCUUUUGGAACUGCGUAUCUGGAGUGCAGGAGAGGCAGGCGGAAUUCCUAGUGUAGCGGUGAAAUGCGUAGAUAUUAGGAGGAACACCAGUGGCGAAGGCGGCCUGCUGGACUGUAACUGACGUUGAGGCUCGAAAGCGUGGGGAGCAAA
rnacentral:rRNA from 1 species